rnacentral:misc_RNA from 1 species
GCUUAGUAAAUUUCCUGUCAAACCAUCUAUUGUUAUACUUGUUGAUUUCUUUUAUGGGGUUUCUUAAACUAUAAUGUUGUGUUUUGUUUCUCUCUUGAAAUACAAAGCAAGAGUCCUUUCUGGGUUUUGUUUAAUAUUUGUCAGAUUCACUGUGAUUCUCAUGUGCUUGCUGUUUUGUUAAUUCUCAAUGUCUCCAGCAUUUAUGCUUUUGGGAAACAGAGAUGCUAUGGAUUGCAUAUUCGUUC